UUUUAGAGUUUGAUCCUGGCUCAGGACGAACGCCGGCGGCGUGCUUAACACAUGCAAGUCGAACGAUGAUGCCCAGCUUUCCUGGGUGGAUUAGUGGCGAACGGGUGAGUAACACGUGAGUAACCUGCCCCUGACUCUGGGAUAAGCGUUGGAAACGACGUCUAAUACUGGAUAUGAUCACUGGCCGCAUGGUCUGGUGGUGGAAAGAUUUUUUGGUUGGGGAUGGACUCGCGGCCUAUCAGCUUGUUGGUGAGGUAAUGGCUCACCAAGGCGACGACGGGUAGCCGGCCUGAGAGGGUGACCGGCCACACUGGGACUGAGACACGGCCCAGACUCCUACGGGAGGCAGCAGUGGGGAAUAUUGCACAAUGGGCGAAAGCCUGAUGCAGCAACGCCGCGUGAGGGAUGACGGCCUUCGGGUUGUAAACCUCUUUUAGUAGGGAAGAAGCGAAAGUGACGGUACCUGCAGAAAAAGCACCGGCUAACUACGUGCCAGCAGCCGCGGUAAUACGUAGGGUGCAAGCGUUGUCCGGAAUUAUUGGGCGUAAAGAGCUCGUAGGCGGUUUGUCGCGUCUGCUGUGAAAUCCCGAGGCUCAACCUCGGGCUUGCAGUGGGUACGGGCAGACUAGAGUGCGGUAGGGGAGAUUGGAAUUCCUGGUGUAGCGGUGGAAUGCGCAGAUAUCAGGAGGAACACCGAUGGCGAAGGCAGAUCUCUGGGCCGUAACUCACGCUGACGAGCGAAAGCAUGGGGAGCGAACCAGGAUUAGAUACCCCUGGUACGUCCCAUCCACGUAAACCGUUGGGCGCCUACGAGUGUAUGGGACCCUUU
rnacentral:rRNA from 1 species